ensembl:lncRNA
CAAGGCCCCCAGGGGAUUCAGAGGCACAGUUGAGCCACCGUUUUACCUCAAAGGAGAGCCCAGGAGCUGAUUCGAAGCCGGGGUCCUCCCCACCCCUCUCUCCCCUGCCACUUCAGCUCAGACUCUUGUACCCAUUCUCCUGAUUUGGCAUUACAGAAAUCAGGAAAACAAGUCGGCCAAGACAGAACUCACAGAGGGUGGGCAAUGGCAAGAGACAAUCCUCUUUCAAGGGAUGGGGGUGGAGAAGGGCUGGGGGCCCUCAUACACCAGGGAACCCUGUGUCUUUCACAGCACUCAGAACUGGGAUCUUUACAAGGCAAGAAGAGGAGACUAAAUGGGUGUCAGGAGGCUCACUUUUACCCCAGUUGUCCUGAAGCUGGUCUUCCCUCCUCUGCAGCAGAGCCCACGAUUCAGAGUCAAAGCAGCUGCUUCCUGGGACUCUCUAUCCAUCACUAGAGAUCCCUACCCUCUACAGAGCUCGUGUCAGCCCUCUUUUGGGGCUACUAAUGGGAUCCCGCCAAGAGUCAAGAGGAGUGGCUCAAGUCAAAAGGAAUGGUAGGACCUCUGGUACUAGGCAGAACAGGAUUCAUAUGUCAGUCCAGGGGCAGGAAACAACACUCCCUCGCCCACCCAGGGGCUAGUGGCCACGCGCCCCAGGAGGCGGGCAGUGUCUCUCUGCUCUUUAAGCUGCCUAGCUAAUACUGCUCCUCAGGAGUCUGGAUUCUUAGCAGGGUAAGGACAAGAAAGAAGGUUCCUUGGCAGCCCUGGGACUGCUUAUACCUGGGUCAGCUGCUCCUUGCACUGCUAGUGGGGCUUCAGAAGGCAAGUUACACUCCUACUGUUCACAAUACCUUUAUCCUUCUUGUUUGUCUUGGAUCGCUUCCGCAUCCAUCAUCUCACGUGAUGGACAGAAUUGGUGUGAUCUUGAUCUUACAGAUGAAGAAACUGAGGCUCCUUCAAGGUUCUUUUGAAGUCAAAAUAAGGUCAAAGAUCAGCAUCACUGGGAGCUUCUUAGACCUGUAGACUCUCGAGCCCUAUUUUGACCUACCCAGUCAGAAUCUGCCUUUUAGCAGGAGCGCCGGCUGAGUUUGAGAAGCACUGGCGUGGGCACUUACCCAAGAUCUGGAGUCAGUCCAAUAUUCUUUUAUAACAAGUGAUGCCAUACUUUGAGUGCUAAGCACCUAAAGGGUUACUAGCAAACCCCCAUAAAAGAACUCCUGCUUUCUAGCUUGAGGCCUCUGUUAAACCAUAUCUGUUUUGCUUUUAGCUAUCCUGAGAAAAGGAGAUGACCCUCUGUAUUCUCCAAACUCUGGGACUCCUGAUGGAGUGAAGCCUGUCCUGGUCUGACCCAAGGCAAAGGAAGAAUGAUAGCGCCCUCGUGUGGCAGCUUAAACACUGCAGCUCACACAAGGCCUGGUCAGAACUGGCUGGAGGAUAGCCCUCAGAUUCUCAGGGAGCCAGUACUACCCCAAAUAACGCUAUAUUCAGAGGGAUUUUUGGGGAAGGCAAAAGCUCCAUAUUCUAGCCACGCAACUCUCCAGAAGAUUAAUGUUCUGCAAAACAGCUGGAGUCAGGAUUCUUGGCUCUGUCGUCCACCUGCUCCAUGAGAUUCUCCUGCUUUGGCCCUUUCCUACCCAGAAAGUGGAGGGUUGGAUAUGACUUCAGCCUGCCUCCAUCAUCUCUACAACUUACAGCACCUGCUCCCAAUAGCAGUAUCCAGCUAACAGAGGACAAGGGCGUUGAGGGUCAUGUCCCAGGGCUGCUCCAGCCAGAGGCAAGGGAGAACCACUCAGAGAAGGAAGGCACAGGCAACUUCAAGAUUGCCAUGGUCUCCAGAUAACUGGUGGAAACUACAUUUGUCCAGAGGACAGAGGGCCCAGGAUGCUGCUCAGCCUCCUUCCUCCCCAAGCUGAUCCCUCAUUUCAACUAAAUCAAGCUUCUCGACAAAGUGCUGUCCACCUGCGGCCUCACCACACAACCCCAAAACCCAGCUCCCACCCUUCUAAAGUGCCCCCAACAGCAUCUAACCCUGCUGGCCACUGCCACCUCUCACUUCUCAAAUUUCUCUCCUCCUUAACACACCUCAUGAAUUAUCAUUCCUCUCUGACAGCUACUUGUUUCCUUCAAAGCUUCCACUUGGGACUGGCCCUGUGGCCGAGUGGUUAAGUUCGCAAGCUCUGCUAUGGCGGCCCAGGGUUUCACCCAUUCGGAUCCUGAGCAUGAACCUAGCACCACUCACCAGGCCAUGCUGAGGCAGCGUUCCACAUGUCACAACUAGAAGGAUCCACAACUGAAAAUAUACAACCAUCUACUGGGAGCUUUGGGGAGGAGGAGGGAAAAUAAAAUCUUUUAAAAAAACAAAUAAAAAGCUUCCACUUCCUCUUUCCGACACAUCCAAACACAAUCCUUCAUUCUUAACCCAGGAACGCACCCCGACCCCCAACACUUCCUGCUACACCCAACUGCAGCUUCAGGAUCUCUCAACUCCAGCUUAUACGACCUUCCUAAUCUUAUCCAGACUCCCAACAUCUCCACUGACUCCUGAAAACUUGAAGCUCCACUGUCUGUCGCAUCUCUUAUUCCAGGUUUGAAACUUGUGAUUCUUUUUAAAAUACACUUCUAAUUUUUUUAACAUUAUAAAAUUUUAAAAUGCAUAUUAAUCUUAGAAAAUACAAACAAGCAAAAAUUUACAAACAGAAAUCACCCACAAUACCACCUCGGAAGGAAACCAUUUCAUUUUGAGACAUCCAUCCAGUUGUGGGUUUUAUGCAAACACAUUUCACGUUCUUUCAGAAGAUGGGGAGCCGUGCAUAUUGUUUUAUAACCUACAUUUCUCAUGAAAAAAUACAAUAAUCUGUUAAAGCCACUUAAAAAUAACUGAAAU